AAUGUGAGGGCAAUCUAGCUGCAACAUCUGUCACUCCUUAUUGAUCACUCAGGUUGAUUCGGGUGAUCCGGCUGCAUAGGCGGGUGUCCCCCACCUUCCUUCUCACCACUC
rnacentral:snRNA from 1 species